GUGGUUAGAGUGUAGGGGCGGCAGGGUAGCCUAGUGGUUAGAGUGUAGGGACGGCAGGGUAGCCUAGUGGUUAGAGUGUAGGGGCGGCAGGGUAGCCUAGUGGUUAGAGUGUAGGGACGGCAGGGUAGCCUAGUGGUUAGAGUGUAGGGGCGGCAGGGUAGCCUAGUGGUUAGAGUGUAGGGGCGGCAUGGUAGCCUAGUGGUUAGAGUGUAGGGACGGCAGGGUAGCCUAGUGGUUAGAGUGUAGGGACGGCAGGUAGCCUAGUGGUUAGAAUGUAGGGACGGCAGGGUAGCCUAGUGGUUAGAGUGUAGGGGCGGCAGGGUAGCCUAGUGGUUAGAGCGUAGGGGCGGCAGGGUAGCCUAGUGGUUAGAGUGUAGGGACGGCAGGUAGCCUAGUGGUUAGAGUGUAGGGACGGCAGGUAGCCUAGUGGUUAAAGUGUAGGGACGGCAGGGUAUUCUAGUGGUUAGAGUGUA